rnacentral:rRNA from 1 species
CGUGAAAUUUCUAGGUGAACCUGCGGAAGGAUCAUUACUGAGUUGUCGACACGAGUUGUUGCUGGUCCUCAAACGGGGGCAUGUGCACGCUCUGUUCACACAUCCACUCACACCUGUGCACCCUCUGUAGUUCUACGGUAUGGUGGGCAACACUGUCCUCCUCCUGUAGUUCUGCGUUUUUACACCUACACUGUACAAAGUCUUAUGGAAUGUGCGCCGCGUUUAACGCAAUGCAAUACAACUUUCAGCAACGGAUCUCUUGGCUCUCGCAUCGAUGAAGAACGCAGCGAAAUGCGAUAAGUAAUGUGAAUUGCAGAAUUCAGUGAAUCAUCGAAUCUUUGAACGCACCUUGCGCCCCUUGGCCAUUCCGAGGAGCAUGCCUGUUUGAGUAUCAUAAACACCUCAACUCUCACAGUUUGCUGUGAUGAGCUUGGACUUUGGAGGUUUUUGCUGGCCCGUGGUCGGCUCCUCUCAAACGAAUUAGCUUGCCAGUUUUCGGUGGCGUCACAGGUGUGAUAACUAUCUACGCUCGUGGUCGUCUGCUGGGUAACCUUUCGGCAACGGAGGUUUGCUGGAGCUCAUAAACGUCUCUCCUCAGUGAAGACAGCUUUUUGAACGUUUGAUCUCAAAUCAGGUAGGACUACCCGCUGAACUUAAGCAUAUCAAUAAGCGGAGG